rnacentral:rRNA from 1 species
UACGUAGGUGGCAAGCGUUAUCCGGAAUUACUGGGCGUAAAGCGCACGCAGGCGGUCUUUUAAGUUUGACGUGAAAGCUCCCGGCUUAACUGGGAGAGGUCGUUGAAUACUGGAAGGCUUGAGGCAAUGAGAGGGGUGUAGAAUUCCCGGUGUAGUGGUGGAAUGCGUAGAUAUCGGGGGGAAUACCAGUGGCGAAAGCGGCACCCUAGCGUUAGCCUGACGCUCAUGUGCGAAAGCGUGGGGAGCGAACGGG